ensembl:snRNA U6 U6 spliceosomal RNA
CUGCUCACUUCGGCAUCACAUGUACUAAAAUUGGAAGAAUACAGAGAUUAGUAUGGCCCCUGCGAGAGGAGGACAUGCAAAUUCGUGAAGCGUUCCAUAUUUUU